rnacentral:lncRNA from 1 species
UUUUUAAUUCCCCAAGGAAGAAAUUGUUCAUCCCAAUUAAUGGGAAGAAUUAGUCUUUCUACUCACAUGCUAUAGUCCCACGACCUAAACCUAUAAAUAUAUCAACUCUUGGAGUUAUAAGGAUAUUAAUUUUUUACAAAUUUAGCUUACCUAAAAUCAUAUUGCACUCCUCACGUGAGCAAGGUUCCCUUUAUUGUAUUUCUUGUAAGUAAAAUUGAUGCCACCGUGAGGCUUUGGUAAAACUGAUAAGGUCACACCUUCACUUAACACUCAAU